UUAUUUGCUUUAGCAUGUUUACUCAUUUAAAAAUCAAUGUGACACACUAGGAAAUUCCCGGCAUCUUAUUUGUCCCUGAUGCAUCAGAAUAGUUUCAGAGUGAGCCACAUUGGCGCUUGCUUAUUUUGCAUGCAGUUUGGCAUCGCCUGCCAUGCUCAUUGGCACCGUCACUGGGCGUCUAAAUGUAAUGUAUUCACAGAGGUGUUUUAAUAUUUGAUUUUGCUGAUGAAUGCUACACUGUUUUCAAGGAAUUGUUGAAUAUCCCUAACGAUACAGGCGCUGGCGGCAGGCCUGUCUGCAGGGCUGUGGUGAGUCUGGGUUUCCCCGGCUGGGUAUGCCUGUUUAUGCUUCCAUUUCAAGGCGUCAAGAGGACAUCGUGCCCGUCAACACAGAGAAAGAGGGACUUGCCUGUCUCCGCUGCAAUGAUGGAUUUAGGCGAUGAGAGGCAUUUUGUUUGGAAUAUUGGGCCUCCUCGUGCCUUGGCCCCGUCCCUUUGGGCCGAACAUGCCAGACUGAAUACAUAGCUCUGAAUGAGGGCAAGAACUCCCUUGCAGCCUGUGAGAACAGCAUUCAAAGUGUCUUUCUGUGUUUGCUAGCUUACAAGUGUCUUCAUUUACAAGUACUUUUUAGUGUGUUUAUCCAGUUUAACAUUUCUAUAAUUAAAGCUUAAAACACAAAGUGUUUUUCAAACUGUACGAAAGCUGAAACUGAUUGUUGUGGCUUGCUGUUUUUUUAUUUUGCAGUCUUUUUUAUAGUUUGAACAGCUCCACCUAGUGAUUAAACACCUUCAUAACUCCAGAUUUGAAAUUUCCACUUGCAAGUUAAUGCAUGGGCUUGUAAAUUCUUGCACUUUUUGCACUAAAACAUGAACUAUUUUAGAUCCUCAUAAACAUUACACUUACUGACCAGAGAGGCGUAAACGUCUACACUGCACUGCAAAACUACACUGCUAUUACAGAAUAUGGUUUAAUACUAACAGUCAGUCAAUUCUUUUUUUUAAUCACGCAAAAUUGCUUAACUUUGUGUCAAGCUGUAAGCAGCUACAAAGAGUCUCUUUUACCAAAACUGUCCAUCUUGCAUUAGCAGGCAACAUCUCCAAAACUGUAGUUUACAGUAAAUGUUUUUCAUAUUAAACUGGGUAAUGAGUCAUUU